CAAGUCCGUGCUAUUUUUGGUAAGUUGUCGGAUUAUAUUGAAUGUUUUGACUGUUAUUCUGGUCAACUUGGGUAGUAGUCUGCUUUUCCUUGAUUUCUAUGAUGUUCUCGAUUUAGUUACUUGUAGCCAUGGUUCAUAUUUCAGCGUUCUAGAUGAACUUCCUGGUGCUGUUGGGGAUCAAGGGAAAGGUUCCCCGUGUUAAUUGCCAGGCUGCCAGGAUUAAAGUAUUAGACUGAAAGAAGUUGAUGCAGAAUCUGCUGCACAGGAAGAACAUAAACCUGAGCAGUCUUCUUAAACCGCUGUAAGAGAUUCUACUAUGUCAACUGAAGGUAUUCAUGAACAAACCAAGGGAGCGUUCCUUCACGACUGAUGAAAUAAUAUGUGUUCGAGACAAGUUGGCACGAUUUAUUACUAGUGAAUGUCUUUGAUUAAUCUCGUUUUUAGCAUUGUAAUGAAUCUAAUACUGUAGUUAGAUACCUUUUUCUAUUAAUCAAUUUAAAUACAAUAUGUUUUAAACCGUUGUUUGAUA